rnacentral:rRNA from 1 species
GACGAACGCUGGCGGCGUGCUUAACACAUGCAAGUCGAACGGGUCUGCCCUGUUUUUUGCGGGGUGGGUCAGUGGCGAACGGGUGAGUAACACGUGAGUAACCUGCCCCUCACUUCUGGAUAACCGCUUGAAAGGGUGGCUAAUACGGGGUGUUCUGGCUGUGCCGCAUGGUGUGGCUGGGAAAGAUUCACUUUUGUGGUGUUUUGGUGGGGGAUGGGCUCGCGGCCUAUCAGCUUGUUGGUGGGGUGAUGGCCUGCCAAGGCUUUGACGGGUAGCCGGCCUGAGAGGGUGGGCGGUCACACUGGGACGGCGAGACGGCCCAGACUCCUGCAGGAGGCAGCAGUGGGGGGUAUUGCACAAUGGGCGGAAGCCUGAUGCAGCGACGUCGCGUGAGGGAUGGAGGCCUUCGGGUUGUGAACCUCUUUCGCCGGUGAAGAAGGUCCUGCUCUUUGUGGUGGGGUUGACGGUAGCCGGGUUAUGAAGCGCCGGCUAACUACGUG